rnacentral:rRNA from 1 species
UACAGAGGUCCCAAGCGUUGUUCGGAUUUACUGGGCGUAAAGGGUGCGUAGGUGGCGGGGUAAGUCUGGUGUGAAAGCUCCGAGCUCAACUCGGAAAAGCAUUGGAAACUAUCCCGCUUGAGGGUCGGAGGGGAGGCUGAAAUUCUCGGUGUAGCAGUGAAAUGCGUAGAUAUCGAGAGGAACACCAGUGGCGAAGGCGAGUCUCUGGACGACUCCUGACACUGAGGCACGAAAGCGUGGGGAGCAAACAGG